UGGUGGGUUGCCUUGUCAGGUUGAUUCCGGUAACGAACGAGACCUCAGCCUGCUAAAUAGUGACAAUCGCCUCGGCGGUUGGCACACUUCUUAGAGGGACUAUCGACGUUUCAGUCAAUGGAAGUAUGAGGCAAUAACA
rnacentral:rRNA from 1 species